rnacentral:rRNA from 1 species
UACGAAGGGGGCUAGCGUUGCUCGGAAUCACUGGGCGUAAAGGGUGCGUAGGCGGGUCUUUAAGUCAGGGGUGAAAUCCUGGAGCUCAACUCCAGAACUGCCUUUGAUACUGAAGAUCUUGAGUUCGGGAGAGGUGAGUGGAACUGCGAGUGUAGAGGUGAAAUUCGUAGAUAUUCGCAAGAACACCAGUGGCGAAGGCGGCUCACUGGCCCGAUACUGACGCUGAGGCACGAAAGCGUGGGGAGCAAACAGGAUUAGAUGACCCCAGUAG